CGGGGAGAGCUUGCAGGAUCCCCAUAAAUUAUUAGUGGGCUCUGCCCUUGGGUUGCUCAUAUACCAUGAGCCCCAUGGAUUAGGGGGAUGUGUGUGUAUGAAUGUGACUUUCUGGAUAUUGGAACACCUGUAUAGGGACCAUCUGAGGGGUCUCAGCCACCAAAGGGUCAUGGCUUUGGUUUUCCCUUCUUUGAAUGUUGAGCCGUG
rnacentral:lncRNA from 1 species